rnacentral:misc_RNA from 1 species
GCAAACUUGGUCAUUUAGAGGAAGUAAAAGUCGUAACAAGGUUUCCAUAGGUGAACCUGCGGAAGGAUUAUUACAAAUUAUGGCGAACCUCGCGUUUCAUGAGGUUUUUGCGUCCAUUUUUCAUAUUUAAAACAUCCCACUCUUAAAAAAAUAUUUAUUUUUGAUAAAAUAAAAAAGAACACUUUCAAUAACGGAUCUCUUGGCUCUUCAGAUGUGUAUAAGAGACAGGCAAACUUGGUCAUUUAGAGGAAGUAAAAGUCGUAACAAGGUUUCCAUAGGUGAACCUGCGGAAGGAUUAUUACAAAUUAUGGCGAACCUCGCGUUUCAUGAGGUUUUUGCGUCCAUUUUUCAUAUUUAAAACAUCCCACUCUUAAAAAAAUAUUUAUUUUUGAUAAAAUAAAAAAGAACACUUUCAAUAACGGAUCUCUUGGCUCUUGCAUCGAUGAAGAACGCAGC